UACGAACCGUCCUAACGUUAUUCGGAAUCACUGGGCUUAAAGGGCGCGUAGGCGGAUGAGCAAGUCCGGAGUGAAAGCCUUCGGCUUAACCGGAGAAGUGCUUUGGAUACUGCUCGUCUUGAGGGAGGUAGGGGCAUGUGGAACUUCUGGUGGAGCGGUGAAAUGCGUUGAUAUCAGAAGGAACGCCGGUGGCGAAAGCGACGUGCUGGCCCUCUUCUGACGCUGAGGCGCGAAAGCUAGGGGAGCAAACGGG
rnacentral:rRNA from 1 species